UACGUAGGGGGCAAGCGUUGUCCGGAUUUAUUGGGCGUAAAGAGCGUGUAGGCGGUUCGGUAGGUCCGUUGUGAAAACUCGAGCUCAACCUCGAGACGCCGAUGGAAACCCUCGAACUAGAGUCCGGAAGAGGAGAAUGGAAUUCCUGGUGUAGCGGUGAAAUGCGCAGAUAUCAGGAAGAACACCCGUGGCUAAGGCGGUUCUCUAGUACGGUACUGACGCUGAGACGCGAAAGCGUGGGGGAGCGA
rnacentral:rRNA from 1 species